rnacentral:lncRNA from 1 species
UCGUGGUCAAAGUAGUAAGACAUGGACAGGUAAACGUAGGAGGCGUAGAGCUCCAGGUUGAUCUGGCGGUUGAUGGCGGCGACUAAGGAGAGGCGGCGGCGGUGGCUGCGCGGCCCUGGAGCGGCGGCGGGGACCUUGGGGCAGUCCGAGGGCGCGGUGAAAAGGUGACGGAGGGCUGGCUAUGGGUGGCCGGCCGGGGUGGGGGACGAGCGCCGGGUUCCGUCCAAGCACAGUUGAAGCAGGAAACCUCGACGACUCUCGGC